rnacentral:lncRNA from 1 species
GAACAAUUUGACACUCAUUUCGAUCUUUUCUGAAAUGGAAAUAUUAGCGCAUUCAGUUAAUGGUUUAGAGUAAAUAAAUUUAAUUGUUUAAAAGCGUACUGGGGAUGGUGCAGGAGCUGUGUCCUCAGAUGCUGUUGUCACUGUAGGUGGGGCUGGGGGGCUGGGGGGGUUUGGUGCAGGAGCUGGUGCAUGAUGAUGAUGCUUGUGCUUGUGUUUUCUUUUCAUCUUGUGUUUUCCAGGAGCUGGUGCUGGGGAAGGCACUAAUGAUGGUGAGGGGGCUGGUGGUGGAAUAGCUGGUGCUGGCACAGGUGCCGGUGGUGGUGUUGCUGGUGCGGGUGCAGGUACUUCCUUAGCUGGAGCUGGUGCUGGUGGUGGUGUUGCUGGAGCUGGUGCUGGAGACACUUGUGGUGGCGGUGUAGCUGGUGGUGGUAUUGGAGUGGCAGCUGGAGAACUUU